rnacentral:rRNA from 1 species
UACGUAGGGACCUAGCGUUGUCCGGAAUCAUUGGGCGCAAAGCGCGCGCAGGCGGCCCGGUAAGUCCGUUGUAAAAGUCGAAGGCUCAACCUUCGAAAGCCGAUGGAUACUGCCGGGCUAGAGUACGGAAGAGGCGAGUAGAAUUCCUGGUGUAGCGGUGGAAUGCGCAGAUAUCAGGAGGAAUACCCAUAGCGAAGGCAGCUCGCUGGGACGUUACUGACGCUGAGGCGCGAAAGCGUGGGGAGCGAACAGG